rnacentral:tRNA from 1 species
GUCACUGUGGCGGAAUAGGUAGACGCACUAGACUUCCAAAGGGUACCAGUUAAGGGCGGAGCUUAGCUCAAAUUAGGGUAGGUAUUAUGCAAGGUGCAAAUCCUUGCCAGUGACA